rnacentral:rRNA from 1 species
AGAGUUUGAUCCUGGCUCAGAUUGAACGCUGGCGGCAUGGCUAAAACAUGCAAGUCGAACGCGAACGUACCUUCGGGUGCAAGUAGAGUGGCGAAAGGGCGAGGAAUACGUUCCUACGUACCCCAAGGUCGGGGAUAGCUCGGGGAAACCCGGGGUAAUACCUGAUAUGGUGCUUCGGCAUCAAAGGCUUGCCGCCUUGGGAGCGGGGAACGUCCUAUCAGGUUGUUGGUGAGGUAACGGCUCACCAAGCCGAAGACGGGUAGCGGGUGUGAGAGCAUGACCCGCCGCAUCGGGACUGAGACACUGCCCGGACUCCUACGGGAGGCUGCAGUAACGAAUAUUCCGCAAUGCGCGAAAGCGUGACGGAGCAAUGCCGCGUGUGGGAUGAAGCUUUUCGGAGUGUAAACCACUGUCAGGGUUUAGGAACACAAUGACCAGAUCCAAAGGAAGGGCCGGCUAACUUCGUGCCAGCAGCCGCGGUAAUACGAAGGGCCCGAGCGUUAAUCAGAAUCACUGGGCUUAAAGCGUGUGUAGGCGGACAUGAAGGCGCUUUGUGAAAUCCCUCGGCUCAACCGAGGAACUGCAGGGCGAACCAUGUGUCUUGAGACAGGUAGGGGUCGUCGGAACGGUAGGUGGAGUGGUGAAAUGCGUUGAUAUCUACCGGAACGCCGAAGGAGAAGUCAGGCGACUGGGCCUGUUCUGACGCUGAGACACGAAAGCGUGGGGAGCGAACGGGAUUAGAUACCCCGGUAGUCCACGCCGUAAACGAUGUGCACUAGGUUGGGGAGGUUUUGACGCCGUUCCCGGCCGAAGCAAAAGUGUUAAGUGCACCGCCUGGGGAGUACGGUCGCAAGGCUAAAACUCAAAGGAAUUGACGGGGGCUCACACAAGCGGUGGAGCAUGUGGCUUAAUU